ensembl:snRNA U1 U1 spliceosomal RNA
AUGCUUACCUGGCAGCAGAGACACCAUGGUCACAAAGGCAGUGUCCUCAGGGUAAGCACUCCAAAUGUGCUGCCCUUUUGAUCACCCCAGAUAAGGGAAACUCAGCUGCAGAAUUAGUUGGGC